GUCGAACGCUGGCGGCGUGCUUAACACAUGCAAGUCGAACGGAAAGGCCUGCUUUCCCUUGUGGAUUGCGGGUACUCGAGUGGCGAACGGGUGAGUAACACGUGAGUGAUCUGCCCCCAACUUGGGUAUAAGCCUGGGAAACUGGGUCUAAUUCCCGAUAGGACUGCAGGGUGGUGCCUGUGGUGGAAAACGAUUUUCUAGUGGUUGGGGAUGAGCUCGCGGCCUAUCAGCUUGUUGGUGGGGUAAUGGCCUACCAAGGCGGCGACGGGUAGCCGGCCUGAGAGGGUGGACGGCCACAUUGGGACUGAGAUACGGCCCAGACUCCUACGGGAGGCAGCAGUGGGGAAUAUUGCACAAUGGGCGGAAGCCUGAUGCAGCGACGCCGCGUGGGGGAUGACGGCCUUCGGGUUGUAAACUCCUUUCGACCGCGAGGAAGCCACCUGGUUGGAAGGGUGGUGACGGUAGUGGUAGAAGAAGCACCGGCUAACUACGUG
rnacentral:rRNA from 1 species